AUUGAACGCUGGCGGCAGGCCUAACACAUGCAAGUCGAACGGUAACAGGAAGCAGCUUGCUGCUUUGCUGACGAGUGGCGGACGGGUGAGUAAUGUCUGGGAAACUGCCUGAUGGAGGGGGAUAACUACUGGAAACGGUAGCUAAUACCGCAUAACGUCGCAAGACCAAAGAGGGGGACCUUAGGGCCUCUUGCCAUCGGAUGUGCCCAGAUGGGAUUAGCUAGUAGGUGGGGUAACGGCUCACCCAGGCGGCCAUCCCUAUCUGGUCUGAGAGGAUGACCGGCCACACUGGAACUGAGACACGGUCCAGACUCCUACGGGAGGCAGCAGUGGGGAAUAUUGCACAAUGGGCGCAAGCCUGAUGCAGCCAUGCCGCGUGUAUGAAGAAGGCCUUCGGGUUGUAAAGUACUUUCAGCGGGGAGGAAGGGAGUAAAGUUAAUACCUUGGCUCAUUGACGUUACCCGCAGAAGAAGCACCGGCUAACUCCGUG
rnacentral:rRNA from 1 species